GAGUUAUGAGAUUGAUCAUUGAUCGUGUUUUUCAUCUUUUAUUUACAAUUUUGUUAAAAGGCUACCUACUUCUUCUCAAUAUUCAUUUAGUUUGAAUGUUUGAUAGCCUAGAUGAAGGUGCUAUGAAAAUGUUUCACACAUAAACACUAUAUACCCUAUUUGGUUUAACCCUGUAGUCAGAAUCACUACAACAGUUAUCAUAAAACUUUAGAAUAUGUAUUUCUGCUUUACAUGCCAAUACAUUAAUUUUUCUUAUAGAUGCACGAUUGUAGAACAGCUUUUGGAAAAUUUGUCAACUUUAGGAAGCUUUAGCUCCGUUGCUAAGGCUCUGGGGGUUCAGAUAUCCCGAAAUUUACAGUUUAUGUCGCUCUUGCUGCUUCAUACCAAAUUUGAAAAGAACGGGAUUGUAGUUAUAAAGAAGUUAAAAAUGUUCAGUUGUUAACGUACAAUAGGGUCGGAAAGUUUUGUUUACUUUCACUUUCGAUUUAUUACUUCCGGGCAGCAGUCGAAAAAUGCCGCUUUUUUUUUUUUCUUUUUUUUUUGCUUCGGUUAGGCUCAGAUGACAGAGUUUAAAUAAAUCUACAGUCUGUAUAGAUUUCCUACUGAUGCAAAAAGAGGAAGAAUUGGAUCACUCAUAUACCUACAUCUUGAAUUGAUUUCAUUUAGAUUGUGGUUUUUGAAAAUGAAAAUUUUGAUAUAAGAUGUGUAUCCACUGGGAUAAAGCAGUGGCGGGACAAGAAGGGGGUCGUCCCAUUUUUGGUUGCAAUAUGGGGUUUUAGGUUGCAAUUUUAAUGGUUUUACAAACACACACACCUUCAGAGGAAUAGUAUUAAGUAGCAGUCCACGUAAGAAUCAUGCAGAAUGAAAAAAAAGUGGCACAGCUAUAAAUUUAAAAUCUCUUGAAAAAUGGCUAAUUUUGAAGAAAAUCAUGUUUUGAACUUGAUCCAAUAAAAAAUUUCACCUUGAAUCCUUCUUAAGAUUUUUAAUCGGCUGAAAGGAUAUUCGGUUUCAAAAAUAUUUUCCCGUUGUUUUCUUUAUAAAGAGCACUAAUGAAAAUGGUCAUUAAAAUUAAUUAUCGGACACUCUGUCAUUAAAGAUUAAUAUAUACAUAAAGUAAAUAAUAUGGACAGUAAAAGAAAUAACAAACAUCAUUUGGAAACAUGUUUACAAAUUAGUUACAGAUUUUUAAAAACUACGUACGAUCUAGCAGAGUGACGAUUUUAUUAUCUCCCUUUGCUAACUCUUUAGUGUUAAAGAUACGAUUGUUUGGGGAAACAUAACAACAUGUCAUACGAGUUGGCGGUUUGAAGACAGACGAUGCCGUUUUGUAACAUUUCUUUAUGAACAAAUACUCCAUGUGAAGAGGUUUCAAAGACAGUUUAUGUGAAUGACUAUAAGAAAUCGGUAGCUAGAUACUUAUGCUCCUUAAACAAAUCACAUUGCGGGAAAUCCAUGACGCAAGGCCCGCCUGCCCCUGUGUCUAUUUUCACAAUCACACGUUGGAAUUUUUCGGGGUUGUUUCAUAUCAUCAGAGUUCUUUGGAGUGGAUGAGGAAUACUACAUGUGUUUUCCCAGAUCACUCGGUCAGUUGUAUUGAAUAUACGAACCGGAUAUGGGCACAUAUAACAUUCGGGAUGAGCAACAUGCUUGUGGAAAAAUGCUGUGGCCAGUAUGGGUGGCGGUGCAGUAUACAAGGAAUCUAUUCACUGAAAUUCCAAGAAGAUUCCAUGACUUGCUUGCCAUACAACAAACAACAGAUUAUGGACAUGAUUCCUAGAAUUAGAACUUGAAUGGGUCAGACUUGAAUACAUGCAAAAUCAUGUAACAACAUUAAAGGUGUUGUACUUCAGGAAAAGGGGAAGCAUAUUUGUUGGAAGAUGGAUAAAGAAAUAUUGGAGCAUGCACUAGACUUCUUUAAAUCCUGCUUUUUUAUCAGGUAACAUCAUUGAGUACAAAAGAAAUGCACCUUCACAGUAGACAACUUAUAACCUUUCGACAAGAAAUUGGGACUGCCUGCCAUUCAACCAUUGUACAUAUAUGAAUUUACCAGUCCUGUUGUGAAGAAACUUAUUUCAUCCUCUUUCAAGGGCCAUGUUAUUUAGGAUUUUAACUACUUGUCCUGCAUCACAAGCUUAAAAAGACUUCACAAUCUGGCUGCAGAUGGAACUGCAUGGUUUGAAAUCCUCAUAGGAAUUUUGAGAAGCAUGGAAGCCUAUAAAUCAGAUAAUGACAAGAUGUCAUAGUUCGAGGAGUACCAGGAAAAUUUACUUGCAGCAAAAUUGUACAUAAAGAGAGACUCACUCAAGCAU